AUGGAAACAGAUUGUUUGGAGAUGGUACAACUAUGGCACUCGCGACGCUUUUCGCGCUCUAUUGUAGCGCCGCUACUUUUAAAAAUUGACGAGCUAGCCUUAUCCUUUCUUUCCUUUGAUAUUCAACAUGUAAUAAGAAAUGCCAACUUGCCGGCCCACUUGUGUGCGAAACAUGCAAGCACACUUGGGGUAACCGACUGUUGGAUGGACUUCCCGCCCGGCUUCCUCAUUACUAGCGUGAUGGCUGAUCGUGUUGGUGCCAUUGUUCUUGAAUAA
rnacentral:rRNA from 1 species